rnacentral:miRNA from 1 species
CUCCCCCCCUUAAUUUAGCGAGUGCGAAUACAAAUUUACAUUCGCAGUCGCUAAAUUUGCAUUCGCACUCGCUAAAUUAAGGGGGGG